UCUCUCAGGAGCAACUGCCACAACUGACAAAAAGGUAAUUAUUGUCUGAGGAGCAACUGCCACAACUGACUUGUGGUGGUGCAGCAGGGUAAAAGAACACAACUGCUCCUGUAGUCUUUGACAGCUGAGGCAGCUGGGUUCAGCAGAUGGCCUCCAAAGAGUGAGGACUCAGCACAUGUGUCCAAGAGAGAGGGGAUUCAAGCAAACAGCAUCUGUGGGACUUUGAAAACCCCUUAGGCUCCAAGACCUCCAGACCACUGCAAACUUGAAGACUUUCCAAGACCUCCAGAAUUCCAUAGAUCCCUGGACAUCUAUAGGCCUUUGCAGAGACUGGCUGCUGUACCUCUGACAUUACAUGUGAGGAACACUGUAAGCCUUGGCCUGGUGUCUCAAAGAGUUGUUGGCUAUUGGUUCACACCAAUACUCACAGAUACCUAAAAAACUGCUGUUUCUGACACUGCUUCCUGGUGAUAGGUGGUGACAAGCAUUAUUGACCUACAUUAACUAGCACUGCUUACAUUGACUGGAACUCUGUGUCUUGUCACCUUUGAGAGCAAUCCAUUGUGAUUGCCCAGUACUGCCUCCGGAUGCUAUCAAGUCCAGCACUGUAUAGUCGGACAUCCAGUGUUGUGCAGCCCAGCCCUCAGACAGUUGCUGUAUGCUUCUGUGGUGUCACCUCACCAACACCCCUGGUGAUCACCUCCAGUUGGCACCACAAAUUGAAUGUUGGUCUAUUGCUUACUGGUGCAGACCAGUUCCAGGUCCUCAUCAAAGGAAAGACACUAUUUUACAUAAGAGACUCUUGUUUUUGACUACUAGAUACUACAGAAACUAUCUAGGGUGAUAAAGCUGGCCACUUGUGACCUUACGAAAUCUUUUGUUUUCCUAAUCUCCUGUUUGUUAAAUAACCUUAUUGUAGUUGCACUUUGAGCCUGAAUGGUCUUGAAAUUUUCAGUGCUUAAGUGAAAAUUCAUAGACAGUAACCUGUUCCCCAAUUUGACACUCUCUUUGGCACUAUUUUUAGUAGUUUUAUUACUAUUCUUACUUUCAUUUAUGAAGCAAUGAAGUGGAGGGAUUAUUAACAAAACUAACUGCUAGCCAUUCAGUUGGCGUUAAGAAUACAUAUGACAUAUGACAAAUUAUAAUUUUCACUAUACUAAAUAUGACUUAACCAUCAUGCUAGCAUAAUAACUUGCUAACAUGCAUUAUAUAAACUGACACAUUUUCAAAAUCCAUAGAAGGCCAAGUAAAAUUAUUGUGUGAAUAUUGAUUGUAACAUAUUUGAUAUUACAUGUAACUAAUCUUUUAUCUGAAUGCUUUAUAAUAUCUGAGUUGUUUAUAAGCUUUAUUUUUAACUCUUUAUAGCAAACAAUAUUACUGUCAUCCUAGUUUUGUAUGGAAGAGGGACCAAAUCUUCCUCUACCAAUCUGGGUACUUACAGUAGUUAAAUUGACAUAAGGCAUGGUAAUAGAAGGAAAGGAAAAAUUUAAUUGCAUGCACUUGGAGAUAAAAUUAUGAAUAUGGAAUCUAGCAAAUGAUCAAAAGAGUCCAUUUAUAUAGCUUUUAAAAAUAAGUAACAAAUUUGUGUAGAACAGAGAGCAACAAGAAAUUCUUGAUUAUUUUUACUUUGACCACUGAUUUUCUGAGCUACAGAGAGUGUUCCUAGAGCUUCUGAUACCUGUCUGUUACUAAAAGAGUGUCUUUCUGAAACUAUGGGAAAAACCAAACUGUUCAAAAUCCUAUUUCUAUAUUUUCUGCCAAGCAGGAUAAUCUUCACACUGUGAAAAGAAGACACUACUAAGAAAAAUGUAUUCUCUGCUGAGCUAAAGAAAUGUUUAUUAGGAGAUCAUCAGCUCUCUAGAAAUGUAUUUUUUGCCACAAUACCUUUGACAUUUCAAGGAGAAAACUUUUGCCAAGAUGGCCAUGUUCAGACUGACAUAUUUAAAGAGUUAAGAGCUGGAAAUGGAAUAAAAUAAAGAAAAAAAAACAGGUUAAGAGCACAGUCAUGCUGCCUGAGAGCAGGGCUACAGGAGAAAAGCAAAAGAAAUCUUUCCUUCAAAUUUCCUGGUAGAGAUGGUAUUGGGACCACAUGUUUCAGGGCCACCACAAAAUGAUCUAACAUCAAGUGAAAUGAGAUGGAGGAAGAAGGAGGGAUGAGAGGCAUUUUUCCAUAAUUGUACAGAACAUGGCAUAGUUUCUUCCUUCUGAAAGUUCCAGAAAAUGUACUUUGAUGCCUUGAGGAAUCCCUCUGCUUGUUAUACCAUUAGAGAUAACAGUGUCUGGUGGUGAUGGUCUACUAACAGAAACUCACAGGUCUAAACAGUUUUUGA